GAAAUGCGAUAAGUAAUGUGAAUUGCAGAAUUCAGUGAAUCAUCGAAUCUUUGAACGCAUCUUGCGCUCCUUGGUAUUCUGAGGAGCAUGCCUGUUUGAGUGUCAUUAAAUUCUCAACUACACUGACUUUGAUUAGUGUGGCUUGGAUUUGGGGGGGAAAUUUGUUGUGGGCUUUUUGUAGUCUGCUCCCCUGAAAUUAAUUAGCGGUACCUUGGUUGGAACUGUCUACAGGUGUGAUAAUUAUCUACAUCCUAGACAUCUGCUGGAAUGCUGCUUUCUAGACCUUACUUGUAUUGACAAUCUUGACCUCAAAUCAGGUAGGACUACCCGCUGAACUUAA
rnacentral:misc_RNA from 1 species